UCGUAACAAGGUUUCCGUAGGUGAACCUGCGGAAGGAUCAUUACCGAGUGCGGGUCUUUAUGGCCCAACCUCCCACCCGUGACUAUUGUACCUUGUUGCUUCGGCGGGCCCGCCAGCGUUGCUGGCCGCCGGGGGGCGACUCGCCCCCGGGCCCGUGCCCGCCGGAGACCCCAACAUGAACCCUGUUCUGAAAGCUUGCAGUCUGAGUGUGAUUCUUUGCAAUCAGUUAAAACUUUCAACAAUGGAUCUCUUGGUUCCGGCAUCGAUGAAGAACGCAGCGAAAUGCGAUAACUAAUGUGAAUUGCAGAAUUCAGUGAAUCAUCGAGUCUUUGAACGCACAUUGCGCCCCCUGGUAUUCCGGGGGGCAUGCCUGUCCGAGCGUCAUUGCUGCCCUCAAGCCCGGCUUGUGUGUUGGGCCCUCGUCCCCCGGGAGCCGGGGGACGGGCCCGAAAGGCAGCGGCGGCACCGCGUCCGGUCCUCGAGCGUAUGGGGCUUCGUCUUCCGCUCCGUAGGCCCGGCCGGCGCCCGCCGACGCAUUUAUUUGCAACUUGUUUUUUUCCAGGUUGACCUCGGAUCAGGUAGGGAUACCCGCUGAACCUAAGCAUAUCA
rnacentral:misc_RNA from 1 species